UCCCUGGAUGUAAAAGAAAAUAAAUAAACAACUUCAUAAUAUAUUGUUCUACUAUUAUAGGUUCGUUUGUUGAACAGAUGUGCAUAUACCUUGUAAUUACACAGUUUUGCACAUCAUGAUUCUUGUAUAAGUAUUAUGUUGUUUUACAAUAUCAGCAUGCCAUUUCUUUUUUGCAUUAAGAUUAGUUUUAUAAAGACAAUUCAAUUAAAUAAUAUUAUAUAGCAUUCUUCGCAUCAGGCAAUAAAAUCAGAUUAAAGCUAAGCUUCUUGACGUAAUGUUGUAUAAUAGUGCCACCUGCUGCUGUAAUAUAGAGUUGCACUCUGUACAAAGAGAAGGUUAACUUGCUAAAUUUACCCUUUAAAAACAGUGUACACUUAUUUUUAGGCCAUAACAUAUUUAGAUGUAAUUUUGACAUGUGCAGGAUGAUGAUGCACAAGCCAAUGUGUUAUUAAGAGAAUGGAAAUCGAAUAAUUGUAAAUUUAGCAUUAUGACAACUACAUUAGCAAAUGUUUCCAAGAGUCCAUCUUACCUCACUGCUGGCAAGAAGUGUUCGUUUUCUAACUAAACUAACAAAACUAACUAACAUGGCAGAAUCCUAGGAAAAAAAGAAUAAUAUAGAUAUAUGAAUAUAUAUAUAUGUCAUAAUAGCAACACUAUAAAUUCAAAUUGAAUGAUUUCUUAUAUAGAUGAAAUGUACAUCUAACUCAUGGAAUUACUGAAUAAUAACUCCAUAAAUGAAAAUAAAUAUUACAUUUAAAAAACAACACUAGUAACAACAUUUUUACUUUUUCACUUAAAAAUAAAAGCAACAUGUUUUUCUUCUACAGAUACAAAAACAUUAAUGUCACAAAUCUUAAAAAAUAAAAAAAAUAGACAGAGAAAAAAUUAAAUAUUCAACAAGUUGCAUUUGACCUCAAUUCAGAAAAACACAGUUCAAAUGGUUCAGAACUUCAGUUAAUCAUUAAGUCAGGUGGGCAGUCAGCCACCCUCAUGGUCAUUGCUCUUAAAGUCAAAAUCAAACUUCAUGCUCAAACAAGGUGCCUCUAACAAAAGCAGCCAAAAAGUUACUUUUCCACCUUUAUUCCAGUAAGAUGAAGAAGGAUCUGGUCCACUGGCAGUCAUCAUUAUCCCAAGCUUGAUCGUCGUGUCUCAGAUAAUAUGGAGCUUUAUUGCUAAAAGAUCAUCAGCUCAGAUUAUCGCAGGUUCACCUUUAAAUGUAAAUGCACAGAUGACUUCGUAUGGUGGGAGGGGGGGCCCCCAAAUCAAAUUCUGUUUAGGGCCCCCAAGAGGCUCGGGCCGGAACUGCACGCCGGACACCCAUGUACCUGGUUUUGGAAGCAAGCAUUCCAGGGAUCCUCCUACAUUUUCUCUGGAGACUUCGAGAGGUCAGAUGUUGUGCAAGUGUUAACUUCCAGAUGUUUUCAGAGAGGUCUGUUUAUCUAGUGGCUAAACAGGUAGCAUCUGGUCUGGUGAGUCGUUUACCCUGUGUACUCAUACUUAGUAAAACAAAAAUCAACUGUAAGAUGUUUAAAAUUCUUUUAAUGUUUUAUUUUUAGGAAUUAUUUAUACUCCUACCACAGAAUUAUUCAUGGUGAUGUUGCAGCCUGGAAUGUGUUGAUCAGUUCAGGGCUCUCUGUCAAAGUCUCUGGAUUGGAUUUGGCUUUUAUGAGUCGGCAGUCAAGAACAGUGGACAAUGAACAAAUAAAAUGUUGUCAAAAAAAAAAAAAUGCACUUUGACCAAUGUGCUUAAGUUGUGUUGUCUUACUUCUUCAGGUGGUCCUUUGGAAUCCUGCUUUAUGAGAUGAUUACCCUGGGAUCUCCUCCCUAUCCUGACCUGGAACCAGCGGAAGUGCUGCCAAACACUUUGCAGUUUACCGAAUGAAAAGACCAGAAAACUGUGGAGCCCCAUUAUAUGACUUAAUAAAGUACUGCUGCAUGUGGAACUUCAAGGACCGGCCGGUCUAUUCUGCCAUUAUUCGGCUUCUAGACUCGUACACCUACCUCACUGACACAUAACCACUUCGCUGUGAAGAGGAAGUGGACAUCUGUGAAUACAGGAGGAAAGCAGGACUGCCUCCAUGAGCUCAUUCAGAGAACUAUCAAUUGAUUGACUGAGGUCAUUUCCAGCUAGUUUGUGUAGCCAUGACAUGACGAGCUCAAUGUCACUAGAGGUCGCCAUGUUUCUCAGACGCAUUGCAUUGUGGUCAACUGAAAUUAAUAAUUUCAAUGUUUCCAGCUAAUAAAAUAUAAGAACUUUCUAAAUCUUUGUCAUUUUACUUCCUGUUUUUGAUUAAAGUGGUAUUUAUUUAUCUAAGUUAGGGUGACUACAUGGCCUCUUUUUCCCAAGCAUGUGAUGGCAGGGAUUUCCAAAUUUCCUAAAAAGUACAGGUUUUGCCUUCUUUGUUUUCCUGCUGACAUUUACAGAUAUUAUAGACCCGGCCAUUUUAGGAAAUUUAGAAAUCCCAGCCAGGACAUGCACAGGAAAUAGAGGACAUAUGGUCACCCUGUCUAGUGUUAGGUAAUGAAAGAUUUAUUGUUAAGAAUAAAGAGGGGUAUAAAAAUAGAAAUGAUAAGCCUACUCAUGUCCAAGUAAAUGGUACUAUGCCAAACUUUUACUCAAAGGUCAAAGUGCCUAGUCAAUAAACAUAAACAGAAAAUAAUAUUAGAAACAUUAAUUGCUGUUCACUAUUAACAAGUAAAAAGGCUUGGGUAUUGUUUUUUUCUAGCUUUCUGUUGCCUCAGUGUCCCUCAUCUUUAUAGAAGCAUUUGUUUAUAUUUAUCUUGCCUCAGUUGUCAUGUAA